CAUGAAGCUGGAUUCGCUAGUAAUCGCGCAUCAGCCACGGCGCGGUGAAUACGUUCCCGGGCCUUGUACACACCGCCCGUCAAGCCAUGGAAGCCGGGAGUGCCUGAAGUACGCGACCGCAAGGAGCGUCCUAAGGUAAAACCGGUGACUGGGCUAAGUCGUAACAAGGUAGC
rnacentral:rRNA from 1 species